AGCUCCGUUAUCAAUUUUAUCAGCAGUAAAGGUACUGGCAGCAAAGGUAUUGUAUGCAGUUUUUGGAUCGUAAAUUGCAUAAUUGGACCAUAAAAUACCAGUCCAAUUGUUUGAAAAUGUAUUUAUUAUCGGAGCAAUUUUGGCGUUCCAGUCUUGUUGAACGUAAGAUGGAGAACGAAGGUAUCCGCUGAUAGGCGUAGUUGGAAUCAUGUGAAUGCCUUGUUUACAAUAUUCUUCAGCUGAAAAGUAAGUUGCAUAAUCAACUUUGUUCAUGAAUGUAAUUCCUGUCACGUAAUUGCCGAGAAUUUGUGAAGGCUGUACUGAAGUAGUGGGUGUCAUGUAUAUGUAGGUAUUUAAACUGUUCUUUAGGACGGCGAGCAUCAAGUUUGCACGGUUGAUAAGAACAGUAUCAUUUCUCACCAUACCCCACAAUUUCGUUGCAUACAGAAAGUUGAAGUCUUCUGAGGUUGACUCUUCAUCUUUACCGUCUCCACUUUCAAAUAUACCUGUUGCCCAUGAAUGUCCAACAAACCAGUCGAAGUUUCUAAACAUAGCAAAAUAGGUGUCACUUUCACUUGGAUUUGCACUGUCUCUUAAUAAAGCAUUUACAUAGCGAAUGUUAUCAUUAACCAGCCAGGAAGGAUCCAAUAGACCAAUUACCGCACAUGCGUAAAUAUGAUAACCCCAGUGAAAAUGAUGGUCAUUAUAGUAGGUAUUACCAUAAUCUGCUAAAGGAGAACUAUAUCCUGCCGUACUGAUGAUACCUUUAUAUGUGGUAUCAUAAACGAGGGGAUACAUUUGCGUAUUCGUAGUAAAUCUAGCCAUGGCUUGCUUCAAUUUUGUCAAUCCAGUGUUAGUGAGAGUGCUAUCACCAAGGAUUCUAGAAGCUACCAAACAAACUUGAGCAUACAUGGCUACUAUUUUUCCAGACGUGUACAUUGAGUCAAGGUUACUGGCAUUUACGACAUCGAAGUUAAUAUCAGUUGCACAAGCUGCACGAAUCGCGGCUAAAGCAGUAGGAGAAUACGUAUUGCUUCCACCAUUCCAAGGAAUUGGUAAAAAACCUACCUGCGUUGGAAGAUUUUUUUCGAUUAAAUGCCAAGUUUUAGUAGCAUAGGCAAACAUUAUACCCAUUGUUGUACUGGCUAAGCCUAAACCUGUUUUGUACGCUUGAGUGUCAGAACCAAAACUUUGCAUAUGAUGGGGAAGAGCAAACAUUAGCGGAUUUAAGUUAGUAUAUCCAGCUGUAGCGAAACGAAACCAAUAUUCCCCGGUGGUACCGCUAACUUGAGCUGAUAGAGAAAUAGACGUAGUAUAUACACCAGCAGAAGCAUCAUAGAUGGUAUCCGGAUAUG